GUAAAAUAUUCAAGGGUAAUGUGUAGAAGAUUUUAACAGGAAGUUCAACAUCAAUAUAAGAGAUGGCCAGCUCAAAAACACAUACUGGAUCUAUCAAUAAGGAACAAUCUGCUCUACUUUGCCAAUUAUGUGAAAAUGAGCCAAAAUUCAAAUGGAAGUGUUUACAGUGUUCUUUGAUGAUGUGUCAAAGAUGCAAAGACAACGUUCAUCCGAAAUUUAAAUCUGCAGAAAGUCGCCAAAUUGUUGACCUGAAAGAUGUGGGAAAGUUAAAUUAUUAGGAAGAGAUAGAUUUCUCCCAAUUCAAGUGCGUUGAACAUUCUGGGCAGCCAUGCUGCUUAUUUUGCGAAGGUUGCAAUGUCAUGGUUUGUCCUAGUUGCGUUGAUGGAAUCCACAAUAAACAUAAACUAGUUGAAAUAAAGGUGGAAAUACAGAGAAAAGUGGUGAGUGUUUGGAACAGAAUAAAACUCAAUGAACUUGCAUUGAAAGAACUAAAGGAGAAUGACAGGAAAUUGAGAGAAAUUUAUUCAAGAGAAAAGGAUAAUUAUGAUAAAUCAGGUGACAAAAUUCUGGAACAAGAAAACGCAUCCUUCACAUUUUACAAAAUCAUACAAAAACACUAAAAGAUGAACUUAACGA
rnacentral:lncRNA from 1 species